GGGGGCGACCUGGUUUCGACGUGGGUUGCAAAACCAGAGGGGCAUGCCGAGAAUGAGAUCUCUCGUUAAUAAGGCUCAAGUAAAUAUAAAUGCAAACGAUGAAAACUUUGCUGGUGAAGCUAUCGCUGCCUAAUAAGCACUUUAGUUAACCACUGUGUACUGGCCUAUAAACCCAGUAUCCCAUUGACCGAGCUCGCUUAUUGGUAUCGAAUCAAUGGUCAUAGAAGAUAAGCUAGUGUCUUAGUUUGUCCCGAAUUAAGAUGCGAAACUCAGGGAAUCGCUGUAUACCAUCCUGCCCGUCGGAGGGUCUGCAGUUAAAUUCAAUAGACAAGGCUACGCAUGUAGAACCAAAGGCAGAGGAUCUGCGGACGCGGGUUCGAUUCCCGCCGCCUCCACCA
rnacentral:tmRNA from 1 species